CGUCAAGACUUGCGGGUAUGAUUGAGAGAAAAUUGUAACUUCACUAUAGGGGUAAUCGAAAACAUAUUAGUCUGAAAUCGUGUGACAAGUAUAUCUACUUCAACAUGAAGAACUGGUGUGCAAGUGCCUGCCGGAUGGGACACUGCACAUAAUCUGCCUGGAUGUACUAUCUCGCUGUGACGAGCGGCGGUAGCAAAUACUACAGAAAGACGUCGCCAUCGUGAUGCGCACAGAAAUGAGUUUCCGGUUGCAUGGAAUAAGCCAAUCAGUGGAAACGUGUCAGUGCAAAGAGGGAGGUAACUCAAGGUUUUGUUUCCAUCUGUGCAAUAAACAAAGUUAACGGCA